UACGUAGGGGGCUAGCGUUGUCCGGAUUUAUUGGGCGUAAAGAGCGUGUAGGCGGCCUGACAGGUCUGCUGUGAAACUCGAGGCUCAACCUCGAGAUGUCGGCGGAAACCGUCUGGCUAGGGUCCGGAAGAGGAGAGUGGAAUUCCCGGUGUAGUGGUGAAAUGCGUAGAUAUCGGGAGGAACACCAGUGGCGAAGGCGACUUCCUGGCCUGUUCUUGACGCUGAGGCGCGAAAGCUAGGGGAGCAAAACGGG
rnacentral:rRNA from 1 species